rnacentral:rRNA from 1 species
GGUUGAAGGUGGGGUAAUACCUACUGGAGGACCGAACAAGUGGGUGUUAAAAAACCCUUUGAUGAACUGUGGAUAGCGGUGAAAUUCCAAUCGAACUCGGAGAUAGCUGGUUCUAUCCGAAAUACAUUUAGGUGUAGCCUUGCAAUUAGCUUACUGGAGGUAGAGCACUAUUUGGUCUAGGGGCCCUUCAAGGGUUACCAAAAUCAGAUAAACUCCGAAUGCCAGCUAAGUAUGUGCAGGAGUCAGACGGUGAGUGAUAAGAUCCAUCGUCAAAAGGGGAACAGCCCAGAUCACCAGUUAAGGUCCCUAAAUAUAUGCUAAGUGGAAAACGUUGUGAAGGUGCAUAGACAACUAGGAGGUUGGCUCAGAAGCAGCCACCCUUUAAAGAGUGCGUAAUAGCUCACUAGUCGAGUGCUCUUGCGCGGAUAAUGUACCGGGGCUAAGCAUAUUACCGAAACUGUGGAUGCGUAAGCAUGGUAGGAUAGCGUAAUUAACGCGAUGAAGGAUGACCGUAAGGACAUGUUGGAGCGUUAACUAGUGAGAAUUCCGGUAUGAGUAGCGAAAGAUAGGUGAGAAUCCUAUCCACCGAAUGAGUAAGGUUUCCCCCGGAAGGCUCGUCCGCGGGGGGUUAGUCGGGACCUAAGGCGAGGCUGAAAAGCGUAGUCGAUGGACAACAGGUUGAUAUUCCUGUACCGAUAUUUAAUUGCCGAAGGAAGGACGCAGAAGGAUAACACAGGCCACUAUUGGAUGUGGUUUUAAACAGUUAGUCUUCAUAAGAGUCAAAUGCUUUUAUGUUUAAGGAUAAGCUGUGAAUGUACCAAGUUUACUUGGAAAUUGUGUGAUUUCACGCUGCUGAAAAAAGUUUCGUAGGAAGAAAAUAUUGCCCGUACCGCAAACCGACACAGGUACUCAAGUGGAGAACACUAAGGUGAGCGAGUGAACUAUUGUUAAGGAACUCUGCAAAAUGAGUCCGUAACUUCGGAAGAAGGACUGCUGGUUUUAUACCAGCCGCAGCAAAUAGGCCCAAACAACUGUUUAUCAAAAACACAGGUUUCUGCAAAAUCGUAAGAUGAAGUAUAGGGGCUGACGCCUGCCCAGUGCUGGAAGGUUAAAAGGAGGACUUAGCUUCGGCGAAGGUCUUAAUUGAAGCCCCAGUGAACGGCGGCCGUAACUAUAACGGUCCUAAGGUAGCGAAAUUCCUUGUCGGGUAAGUUCCGACCCGCAUGAAAGGCGUAAUGAUUUGGGCGCUGUCUCAACAAUAGACUCGGUGAAAUUUAAAUUCCAGUGAAGAUGCUGGGUACCCGCGACAGGACGGAAAGACCCCGUGGAGCUUUACUGUAGCUUGAUAUUGAAUGUUUGUGCUGCAUGUGCAGGAUAGGUAGGAGACUUUGAAGUCGGAACGCUAGUUUCGAUUGAGUCACCCUUGAGAUACUACCUCUGUUGUAUGAACGUUCUAACUCUGAUCAGUUAUCCUGAUCGAAGACAGUGUCUGGCAGGCAGUUUGACUGGGGCGGUCGCCUCCUAAAAGAUAACGGAGGCGCUCAAAGGUUUGCUCAGAAUGGUUGGAAAUCAUUCGUAGCGUGUAAAGGCAUAAGCAAGCUUGACUGUGAGACUGACAAGUCGAGCAGGUACGAAAGUAGGACUUAGUGAUCCGGUGGUUCCGUAUGGAAGGGCCAUCGCUCAACGGACAAAAGCUACCCCGGGGAUAACAGGCUCAUCUCCCCCAAGAGUCCACAUCGACGGGGAGGUUUGGCACCUCGAUGUCGGCUCAUCGCAUCCUGGGGCUGUAGUCGGUCCCAAGGGUUGGGCUGUUCGCCCAUUAAAGCGGUACGCGAGCUGGGUUCAGAACGUCGUGAGACAGUUCGGUCCCUAUCCGUCGUGGGCGCAGGAAAUUUGAGAGGAUCUGUCCUUAGUACGAGAGGACCGGGAUGGACAUACCUCUGGUGUACCAGUUGUUCUGCCAAGAGCACCGCUGGGUAGCUACGUAUGGAUUAGAUAAUCGCUGAAAGCAUCUAAGUGAGAAACUAACCUCGAGAUGAGAUUUCCCAUUCGUCAGAAGUAAGACCCCUGAGAGACGAUCAGGUAGAUAGGCUAGAAGUGGAAGUGUAGUGAUGCAUGGAGCGGACUAGUACUAAUAGGUCGAGGACUUAACCAAG